AUGCGUCGUCGGCACUUCCUUGUCUUUUGAAAUUUUAUCUCAAAUUUAUUUAUCACGUUUUUAAUUGAGGAUUAGUAUUAACUGCAGAUGAGGAAAGUCCGAGCUCCAAAGAGCAGGGUGCUGGAUAACGUCCAGCGAGGGUGACCUUAGGGAUAGUGCCACAGAAAUAAACCGCCAAGUAAUUUAUUACUCGGUAAGGAUGCAACGGUGCGGUAAGAGCGCACCAGCAGUCAGGUGACUGACUGGCUAGGUAAACCCCACCUGGAGCAAGACCAAAUAGAGAAGGAUAAAAAAGUUGCUCGCUUACCUUCUGGGUGUGUCGCUAGAGCCGUCAGGCAACUGUCGGCGUAGAUAAAUGAUCAUCACUAUAGCUUGCUAUAGCACAGAACUCGGCUUACUGACUACUCAUAUGC
rnacentral:RNase_P_RNA from 1 species